AUUGAACGCUGGCGGCAGGCCUAACACAUGCAAGUCGAGCGGAUGAAGGGAGCUUGCUCCUGGAUUCAGCGGCGGACGGGUGAGUAAUGCCUAGGAAUCUGCCUGGUAGUGGGGGAUACCGUCCGGAAACGGGCGCUAAUACCGCAUACGUCCUGAGGGAGAAAGUGGGGGAUCUUCGGACCUCACGCUAUCAGAUGAGCCUAGGUCGGAUUAGCUAGUUGGUGGGGUAAAGGCCUACCAAGGCGACGAUCCGUAACUGGUCUGAGAGGAUGAUCAGUCACACUGGAGCUGAGACACGGUCCAGACUCCUACGGGAGGCAGCAGUGGGGAAUAUUGGACAAUGGGCGAAAGCCUGAUCCAGCCAUGCCGCGUGUGUGAAGAAGGUCUUCGGAUUGUAAAGCACUUUAAGUUGGGAGGAAGGGCAGUAAGUUAAUACCUUGCUGUUUUGACGUUACCAACAGAAUAAGCACCGGCUAACUUCGUG
rnacentral:rRNA from 1 species